rnacentral:lncRNA from 1 species
AUUCUGAAAGGUUAAAAUGUUUUGUCGAGUGAGGAACUUACAAGACGUCUUUCUGCAGGUACUUAAUUGACAAGUGGUGAAAUCUGAUUCUGCAACUAUUAAGGUACAUUUUUGACACUUAGUCACCAUACUGAAGCUGGUCCAGUGGAUUAAGUUAGGAGACUACUGAAAUGGCUCUGGUUGCAAUUUGUAUGUUUCACUGUUCUUACAAAUUUUGUGCUUCUUGUAACUGAGGGUUGACAUUGUAAUGGAACAAAGUUUUUGAUUGUACCUUAAACCUGUGUUUAGUACUCGAGGAAUUAUGGGAUUCCAUUACGUAGUUAGCAGAUCCUUUGUUAUUCAGUGAUCGCUAUGGUGUUGUGUCUUGUUGUCAUGCUCUUUGGAACUAGAAUGUUUGGUCUUUAUAUGGUUUGGAACUUCAAAAAUCAAAAUCUUCAAUUGUUAUUUGAUUGAAGAAUUAAUUAUCUUCAACCAUUGCUUUUCUUUGGUUUUUUCCUUUUCAUUUCUAGGUUUGAGUUUGUUCUUUCCUGGAUCUCUGUUUCUUCACUAUUGUAAUCCUCAGACAGGAUUACAUCAUUUU